rnacentral:rRNA from 2 species
UAACGACUCUCGGCAAUGGAUAUCUCGGCUCUCGCAUCGAUGAAGAACGUAGCGAAAUGCGAUACUUGGUGUGAAUUGCAGAAUCCCGUGAACCAUCGAGUCUUUGAACGCAAGUUGCGCCCCAAGCCGUCAGGCCGAGGGCACGUCUGCCUGGGUGUCACGCAUCGUCGCCCCCCGCGCCCCCCUCCUCCCCUCGAGGAGCGGGCGCGAUCCGGGGGGCGGAUACUGGCCUCCCGUGCGCUCCCCGCUAGCGGUUGGCCCAAAAUUCGAGUCCUCGGCGACGGUCGCCGCGACGAUCGGUGGCGAAACUUCCGUUGAGUUCCCGUCGUGAGCGGCCGUACCCGGAGACGGGCUCGCCGGACCCCGACGCGCUUUGCGCACGCUUUGCGACCCCAGGUCAGGCGGGACUACCCGCUGAGUUUAAGCAUAUCAAUAAGCGGAGGAAAAGAAACUUACCAGGAUUCCCCUAGUAACGGCGAGCGAACCGGGAAGAGCCC